rnacentral:tRNA from 6 species
UGGUCGGGAUAGCUCAGCUGGUAGAGCAGAGGACUG